CUGUCUUCAUCCUUGGCCGCCCCAUCUGCUUCUUCCUUCUUCCCAGCUCCUAGGUCCCCAGGGACACAGGAAUGGACCGAGCCCGUGGCCUGCGCUUCAGAUGCUCCCAGAGCUGGAAGAGGUAUUGGACAGGACGGAGAUCAGCCAAGCACUUCUGUCUGGAUGCCCCUCUGACUUUUCCUGGUCUUGCGGAAACUUUCACCAUCAGAGCAGUUUCCGGGAGCUAGUGAUGUUGUGGGGGGCACGGGUUUGAUCCCUGGUCGGGGAACUAAGAUCCUGCCUGCUGCAUGUCGUGGCCAAAAAAAAAAAAAAAAAAAAAAUCUAAAGGAGGUUGAUGGUGAUGGUGACCCUUUUACAGAUGAGGAAACUGAAGCUCAGAGCAUCUAGGUGGUCUGGUCUUUUCUGCUAGUAGUCGGAACCCAGGUACAUCUGAAGGAAGAUCGUGUGAGUAAAACAACCUUCCCAUCUUUUUUAACCACUUUAUUCUAUAACCUCCCCCGUAAUUCUAGGAAAAUCAUGACGGAGCUGCGGGUAGAACCCAAGUUUGGUGCUGUUUCCACUGUGCCCAAACAGUGGCCGUGUUUCCUCUGGGCAGUUUCUGCCCUCGCCUUUCCCUCCUCCCUGGAAACCCAGUCUAGUCCUUUCCAUCAGCGUGUUGUAUGCAGACAGGGCACAUCAUAUUUGGCUUGUGUGCCCUCAGAGGGACCACGUUUGCCCAUAUGUGGUGUGUGUGUAUAGCGGGGGUAUGAUUGGUGCUGCAGAAUAAAAUAGCCACCCCUCCUCUCCACGGCGCAGCAGUGAGUGGCAAGCGUGCAUAUCCCCUGGCAGCCCAUCCAAAGAGAGGAGAAAAGGCUGUGUGUUACCUUGGGGAGUGAGGAUAAGCAGGAAAGCUCAAUCUCUGUCCCUUUUAGGGGUGCAAAAGUGAGCUGCCUGGCUUCCGUGUCAAGGUGAGUUUUCCUUGCCUGGAAAAUCUCACCAGCCAGAGAUAGCCGAUGCUUCAUGUGUGGGAAUUCCUGGUUCCUUUGCAAAUGGAGAGCUAUAGAAAGCUUUGGACAGUGUCUAACCGAAACCCACGCGCCCCAACCUGACUCCCUGGAGACCACAGGAAUGCCCCUUCCUAAGUCAGGGUUUCUGCCACUGCCAGAGAGACGGAAAGCCCCGAGCCAUGGACAGAAAUGAAUAAUGAUAACAGCUGAUGUGUGCGUUGGUUCCUCUAUCCCUCACGUCUACCCAGGGAGGCGGGCACUGACUUACCUCCAUUUUACAGAUGGAGAUACAGAGAUUGGAGAGGUGGAGAACCUUACCCAAGGCCACAGAGGGAGAAACCGGUACAACUGGCAAAAAUACGAAAAGGCUCACUGCCUCGCUCUUUGGAAAAGCAAAAGACUUUAAAACAACCCAUCGUUAGGGGACUGAUGAAAUAAACUCCAGUGUGUCCGCAGGAAGGAAAACUCUUUCUCUACUCACAACACCUCUUUUUCUUUUUUUUUUUUUUAAUUUUACUUUUGGCUGCAUUGGGUCUUUGUCGCUGUGUGCAGGCUUUCUCUAGUUGCGGCGAGCGGGGGCUACUUUUCAUUGUGGUGUGCGGGCUUCUCAUCAUGGUGGCUUCUCUUGUUGCAGAGCACGGGCUCUGGGCUUAGCGGGCUUCAGUAGUUGUGGCUCACGGGCUUAGUUGUUCUGCGGCAUGUGGGAUCUUCCCGGACCAGGGCUCGGAC